rnacentral:rRNA from 1 species
AUACGUAGGGGGCUAGCGUUAUCCGGAUUUACUGGGCGUAAAGGGUGCGUAGGUGGUCUCUUAAGUCAGGGGUGAAAGGCUACGGCUUAACCGUAGUAAGCUCUUGAAACUGGGAGGCUUGAGUGCAGGAGAGGAAAGUGGAAUUCCUAGUGUAGCGGUGAAAUGCGUAGAUAUUAGGAGGAACACCAGUAGCGAAGGCGGCUUUCUGGACUGUAACUGACACUGAGGCACGAAAGCGUGGGGAGC